GCGUUUGUGGUUGAGUGGUACAAUUCGUCGUUGCCAUUGUAAGAUGAUAUCGAUGAGGCCCGGGUUCGAUUCCCGGCGAACGCA